rnacentral:rRNA from 1 species
UACGUAGGGUGCGAGCGUUGUCCGGAAUUACUGGGCGUAAAGAGCUCGUAGGUGGUUUGUCGCGUUGUUCGUGAAAACUCACAGCUCAACUGUGGGCGUGCGGGCGAUACGGGCAGACUGGAGUACUGCAGGGGAGACUGGAAUUCCUGGUGUAGCGGUGAAAUGCGCAGAUAUCAGGAGGAACACCGGUGGCGAAGGCGGAUCUCUGGGCCUUGCCUGACGCUGAGGCGCGAAAGCUAGGGGAGCGAACAGG